CGCCCCCUGCAAACACAAACAUAGGGGGUCCUGCCUGCCCAGUGACUAAAGGUUAAACGGCCGCGGUAUCUUGACCGUGCGAAGGUAGCAUAAUCAUUUGUCUCCUAAAUAGAGACUGGUAUGAAUGGCAAGACGGAGCUAAACUGUCUCUUUUUUUAACUCUGAACUUUACCUCCCCGUGAAGAGGCGGGGAUAAAAUCGUUAGACGAGAAGACCCUGUCGAGCUUAGAGCAAAAUAUAGGACUUUAACUUAGCCUUAUUUACCCUAACCUCUAAAAUUAAGUAAAAAUAAGUCUUUAUUGGCCCCAUAAAAGCUUUGGUUGGGGCAACCGCGGAGAAAGAAAACCUUCCGCUAAUAAAUUUAUUUAGAAAAGGAGAACAACCCUACAAUCAAAAAUGAAAGUGUGAUCCACCCAGGUGAUCAAAGGAACAAGUUACCGCAGGGAUAACAGCGUUAUCUUUUCUGAGAGUUCACAUUGACGAAAAGGUUUGCGACCUCGAUGUUGGAUCGGGACAUCCUAAGGGUGCAGAAGCUUUUAAGGGUUGGUCUGUUCGACCAUUAAAGUCCUACGUGAUCUGAGUUCAGACCGGCGAAAGC
rnacentral:rRNA from 1 species